rnacentral:lncRNA from 1 species
CUUAGCCUGCCCCUACAGAAAACAGAAGUGUCAGCGGAGGACUGUAAGUGCUAUGUGAUUGGACUACAGUGGCCGUCGAAUUUCACCUGCCCAGCACAUGUUCUCUCCUCCUCUCCUCCUCUGCCUUCUUUGGGUAAGAAUGCUGUUUUCUGUGGUUGCAGCAAUGGCUGGAUCUUGGCAGUCACACAAUAGAACAACCGUGAACCUGAGGAAGUGACCGAGUCACUGUGGGAUGCGAGGCAGUGAGAACACUUCAUCGCUGGCUGGAAAGCAUCCCAAGGUGGCUGAGAAGCAGACACACAGACAGAUUUUCUUCUACCUCUGCCACAUCGGAGACAAGAUCGACCCCUCCUGUUCUUCCUACUCCUCAGAUUACUCAACGUGAAGAUGAUAAGGAUGAAGACAUUUACGAUGAUUAUUUAUUUUUAUUUAAUGAAUAGAAAAUGUAUUUUCUGUUUUAGUUUCAAAAACUGCCUAUUCUCUUUCCAUAGGAAUUUAUAAAAUUUAAUCAUUUUUCUUUAUCAUCUGUCUUAAUGUGAUUCAACUAUGUAUUUUCUAUUCCUUAUCUUUUUUAAUAACAUUUUCUUUAGCUUAUGUUACUUUAAGAAUAUAGUAUACAAUACAUAUAAUAUAAAAAUAUGUGUAAAUUGAUUUUGAUCUGUCAGUAAGGCUUCCGGUCAACAGUAGGCUCUUAAAAGUUAAGUUUAGGGGAGUAAAAGUUGUACACGGAUUUCUGACUGCGUGGUGAGUCAGUGCUUCUAACCCCUGCAUUGUUCAAAGAUCAAAUGUAUAUAAUUUACUCUCUAGUAAAAAAAAAUUAUUCUGUUUUCUAUCUCCUUUCCUUGGUAUCGAGUAAAAAUAAAAUUAUGUCUGUUUUGUCUGAUACUAUUACCAUCACCCCCAGUCUCUUUUGAAUACUAUUUGUAUGGUAUAUAUUUUCAAUUAUUUCACUCUUCACCAUUUUUUUGUUUAUUGUAAGGUGUAGUUCUUAUUAAGAGCAUUUGUAUAGACCAUUUUUUAUCCAUUUUGCCAAUAUAUGCUUUCAGUUGAAGUGUUUAAUACAUUUGUAUGUAACUACUUUUAAAUUAGGGUUUACAUCUGAAAUUUUUCAAUUUGAUUUCUAUAAAUUAUCAAUCUUUUCUCCCUUUAU